AACCUCCCUCAGUCAGACUGCACAGAGACUGCACUGCUGCAGCUGGGACCUACUGCAGGUGCUGAGGGGGGAGGCACUGAUCUGGAACACCCGUAUUUUCAACUGGGCUGUAGGGGGCAACAAUGAGCUACAGCCCUGAAUGCACACCUCUCUGUACUGAAGAGGAGCUGCUCUGUGUCACACACAGAACCCAUAGUAGAGCUGCUGCUGAAACACACACACUUCUGUACCACAACACCACAGGCAUCACAGUGUAUAUCUGCUCACAAGCAGCAAUCAUCACCAAGGACGUGUCUGAAUCAGAGCACUUUCUUACUACUGAUCAUUCUAGUUGGAUAUGCUUUGUUAAAAGUUGUUAAGGUAAAUUUCCAAAAAUGGAGUACACUUAAAAAUAGCUGGAUUAAAUACCCCCAGUUUUGUGUUUAGUAGACAGUACAUGCUUUGAGGAUACAAUAAUUCGGAGGCUGAAUCUGGACUUGAAUGCAAAGUCCAGAUUCACAAAAUCCUUGUGUCUCUAAGUUGACCCAAAAGCAGAGGAUGAGUACUUUCACCCAGAGGUAUAACGAGUGGGAUUUCAAAUUAAGUGCUAGCAGAAGGAAAAUUCACAUCAAUUUCACUUCUAUCCAGGUGGGAUCUCACCUGCCCUGGACUGAAACAUAGUAUCAAAUUUUACAUUUUGCUGUGAUAUAAUUCCUUUGAUUGGUCUGAUAAUUAUUAUUUUUUUAAUUGUGUGAAUGUGUCAGAAAAACCAGUGAUUGGAUGCAUUUGUCCUUUCAUCCAUGUCUUCCAAGUUUAAAGUAUGCAAUAUUCUUAUCAGUUCUAACCUUCAAGCAUUUUACUUUGCACAAUCAGCAAGAAUAUAAUUCUCUGUCAAAGUCAAAAGUUAGUAUAUACGGGAGAUAUCCACAUCAUAUUAUAUUUCAGAUAUGGAUUCAGGUCUUGAUUAUUAUUACCAGAACAGUUUUGAUUUUGGUGAACAAGUGUAUAAUUGUGUACCUUGAAUUGUCAAAGAUGGGAUACAGAACACACAAGGGGUCUUACACACACCAUACAGAAAGUGUUUACUGUAUCAGUCCCUCUACAAAUAACAUGCAAUAACUGCAAAACCUGUCAUGAUUUAGUUCAAAGAUUGAAGGAUAACGUGAAAUAGGAAUUGAUAACUGCAUUAUAUUUAUCAUGUGAUUUCAAAGAUGACUUGUGAUUGGUUGGUUGCUGGUCCAAAUUCAAAGUUCUUUGGCUUUCUAGGCAGUCAUUAAAUGAAACCAGUAAGCAUGUAUGCAGCCUCCUGAAUUUUGUCUACCACGGUAGUAGUUUGAAAUCAAUGUGAGUCCUGUUCUUAAAUCUAAUUUACACAUGUGUACAGUUCGUGAAGAUAAUCAUAUUAUUAUCUUCACGAACUGUACACAUGUGUAAAUUAGACUGUAAUAUGACUGUAAUUAUGUUCAGUUGUCUGUCAGCCUUCUGUCACUUUAGAACUUACACUGACAUGAUGAAAUAUAUGUCCAUACAUAUGCUUACAUUUAGGCAAAAGAAUUGCUGAUACAUUUUCCAUUGACAUUUUUAUGUUAAGGGUUAGGGUUAGGGUUAGGGGGGCAUGUUCUGUAUUAAGGAGUCAAACUGUUUGAAUCACCCUACCAGCAUGGACAAGACUACUGUGUGAAUUCGACACUGCAUUUCUUUCAUUAUCAACUCAUCAACUCAUCAAAGAUGAAUCUGCUGCACAGUAACUGCCUUCCGUCUAAUACACCUCUCUGCUCUCACAGGAAUGCCUUCUGUGACGACAUUGAUG